rnacentral:rRNA from 1 species
AGUAAUAUAUCGGAACGUGCCCAGUUGUGGGGGAUAGCCCGGCGAAAGCCGGAUUAAUACCGCAUACGACCUACGGGUGAAAGCAGGGGAUCGCAAGACCUUGCGCUAUCGGAGCGGCCGAUGUCAGAUUAGCUUGUUGGCGGGGUAAAAGCCCACCAAGGCGACGAUCUGUAGCUGGUCUGAGAGGACGACCAGCCACACUGGGACUGAGACACGGCCCAG